AUUGAACGCUGGCGGCAGGCCUAACACAUGCAAGUCGAACGGUAACAGGAAGCAGCUUGCUGCUUCGCUGACGAGUGGCGGACGGGUGAGUAAUGUCUGGGAAACUGCCUGAUGGAGGGGGAUAACUACUGGAAACGGUAGCUAAUACCGCAUAACGUCGCAAGACCAAAGAGGGGGACCUUAGGGCCUCUUGCCAUCGGAUGUGCCCAGAUGGGAUUAGCUAGUAGGUGGGGUAACGGCUCACCUAGGCGACGAUCCCUCGCUGGUCUGAGAGGAUGACCAGCCACACUGGAACUGAGACACGGUCCAGACUCCCACGGGAGGCAGCAGUGGGGAAUAUUGCACAAUGGGCGCAAGCCUGAUGCAGCCAUGCCGCGUGUAUGAAGAAGGCCUUCGGGUUGUAAAGUACUUUCAGCGGGGAGGAAGGGAGUAAAGUUAAUACCUUUGCUCAUUGACGUUACCCGCAGAAGAAGCACCGGCUAACUCCGUG
rnacentral:rRNA from 1 species